rnacentral:rRNA from 1 species
UACGUAUGGUGCAAGCGUUAUCCGGAUUUACUGGGUGUAAAGGGAGCGUAGACGGAGUGACAAGUCUGAUGUGAAAACCCGGGGCUCAACCCCGGGACUGCAUUGGAAACUGUCAAUCUAGAGUACCGGAGAGGUAAGCGGAAUUCCUAGUGUAGCGGUGAAAUGCGUAGAUAUUAGGAGGAACACCAGUGGCGAAGGCGGCUUACUGGACGGUAACUGACGUUGAGGCUCGAAAGCGUGGGGAGCAAACAGG